GGUAUAUUAGCUUAAUGGAUAGAGUUUUCCUCUAGCUAAGGAAACGAUCUAGGUUUAAAUCCCGGGUGUACCU